GUCGUUAGCUGAGUUGGUAGAGCAGUUGACUUUUAAUCAAUUGGUCGCAGGUUCGAAUCCUGCACGACCCACCA
rnacentral:tRNA from 1 species